CCUACGGGAGGCAGCAGUGGGGAAUAUUGCACAAUGGGGGAAACCCUGAUGCAGCGACGCCGCGUGAGCGAUGAAGGAUUUCGGUAUGUAAAGCUCUAUCAGCAGGGAAGAAAAUGACGGUACCUGACUAAGAAGCCCCGGCUAACUACGUGCCAGCAGCCGCGGUAAUACGUAGGGGGCAAGCGUUAUCCGGAUUUACUGGGUGUAAAGGGAGCGUAGACGGCUGAGCAAGCCAGAUGUGAAAGCCCGGGGCUCAACUCCGGGACUGCAUUGGAAACUGUGUGGCUGGAGUGCUGGAGAGGCAGGCGGAAUUCCUAGUGUAGCGGUGAAAUGCGUAGAUAUUAGGAGGAACACCAGUGGCGAAGGCGGCCUGCUGGACGGUAACUGACGUUGAGGCUCGAAAGCGUGGGGAGCAAACAGGAUUAGAUACCCUGGUAGUC
rnacentral:rRNA from 1 species